rnacentral:rRNA from 1 species
GUAAGUGAUAGUUCUACAUAAAUAUUUAAUUAGUUGUGGUUAUGCUAUUAUAACUAGUAAAAAUAAUGUGCCAGCAUUCGCGGUCAUACAUUUUAGUUAUUAUAAUUUCAUCUAAGCAGUAAAUAUGUCAAGUUUAAUUGUUUUAUAAUGUAAACCUUUGUGGUAGAAUGCUAAUAAAGUUAUAGUUAUUAAAUGCAUUUUAAAUUUACUAAACAUAUUUAAAAUUACUAUUAUAAACUGGGAUUAGAUACCCCAUUAUAAGUAAAGAAUUAAUAGCUGUGUGGAUUAGAGAAUUGUUAAUCUUGAAAAACUAAAUUGCUUGGCGGCUUAUUAACUAAAUAGAGAAGCAUGCUUUUUAAUGGAUGUUACACAAAAAUCUUACCUAAUAUUGUUAAUACAUUUGGUACACCGCCGUCGGAAGAAUAGUCUUAUAGGAAUUGUUCUAAUAUCUUCAUAAGGAAUUAAGUCAGGCCAAGGCACCGAUUAUUAUUAGGUUAAAGUGUGUUUCAUUAUUAUAAUUAUGUCUAGAAAUUUCAUUUAUGAAGUUUGAAACUCUAAUUAAAGUAAACGAAUCUAUAAGUAAAUUUUGUUCAUAAAAUUAAAUUGAAUAAUGCUCUAAUAGGUGUACAUAUCGCCCGUCACUCCAUUAAUGGACAAGUCGUAACAAAGUUGGUCUACUGGAAAGUGGACCAGGAAUAAA